rnacentral:rRNA from 1 species
UACGGGGGGAGCAAGCGUUGUUCGGAUUUACUGGGCGUAAAGGGCGCGUAGGCGGCCACCGCAAGUCAGUUGUGAAAGCUCUGGGCUUAACCCAGAAAGGUCAGCUGAUACUGCGGGGCUAGAGUGCAGAAGGGGCAACUGGAAUUCCUGGUGUAGCGGUGGAAUGCGCAGAUAUCAGGAGGAACACCAAUGGCGAAGGCAGAUCUCUGGGCCGUAACUGACGCUGAGGAGCGAAAGCAUGGGGAGCGAACAGG